rnacentral:rRNA from 1 species
AAUAGAUACCCGGGUAGUCCAUGCCGUAAACGUUGGGCACUAGGUGUGGGGCUCAUUCCACGAGUUCCGUGCCGCAGCAAACGCAUUAAGUGCCCCGCCUGGGGAGUACGGCCGCAAGGCUAAAACUCAAAGGAAUUGACGGGGGCCCGCACAAGCGGCGGAGCAUGCGGAUUAAUUCGAUGCAACGCGAAGAACCUUACCAAGGCUUGACAUGCACGGGAAGCCACCAGAGAUGGUGGUCUCUUUGGACACUCGUGCACAGGUGGUGCAUGGUUGUCGUCAGCUCGUGUCGUGAGAUGUUGGGUUAAGUCCCGCAACGAGCGCAACCCUCGUCCCAUGUUGCCAGCGGGUUAUGCCGGGGACUCAUGGGAGACUGCCGGGGUCAACUCGGAGGAAGGUGGGGAUGACGUCAAAUCAUCAUGCCCCUUAUGUCUUGGGCUUCACGCAUGCUACAAUGGCCGGUACAAAGGGCUGCGAUACCGUAAGGUGGAGCGAAUCCCGAAAAAGCCGGUCUCAGUUCGGAGUUGGGGU